UACCCACAGCAUUGUUUUGCAUAGCAAAUACUCUUUGAUUGUUCUCUCUCACCCUUCCUCCUCUUCCUGUCUCUCUUCUCUUUGUAGUUCUCUGCUCCAUCCUCCUCCUCUUUAUCAGUAUUCUCUUCCCCUACUCUUCCCACUUCCCAUCAUUAUUCGUAAUUACUAUACCCUAAUCUUUCUCUUUAGUUAUGAUACGGCUCUUCUUUCUCUCUCUCUCUCUCUCUCUCUCUCUCUCUCUCCCUGCUAAGGACAUCAAGAACUCUCCAUCCUUCUAAGGACAAGGACUCUGCAUCUGCUAAGGACUCCAAUUUAAUUAUAACUUAAGGGAAGCCUUAAAUUCGUAGGGGGUCAUGUAGCACUCUGAGUAUUAAGAGGCAAAUCAGGUUCUACCCGAAAGAUGACAGAUCUAGUUCCUCAGAUCAAGAGCCCUCACAAGCAUCAAGGAACCUCCCUUGAGGAGUAUGUGAAGCUGAAGGGAUACAUCUUUCAUGUAUUGUGGUACAUGUGACUGGGGAUACAUCUCUGGAUCACAGCGAGUUAGACACACCUGAUAUUCUGUGUGGCUCUCCACUUGGUCGGUCACUUGUAAAAAGCUGCUUUGCCUUGGUGGUGAGUACUUUACCAAGUCCUCCAGGAUAUUAAUUAUAAUUAUACUUUGUGUGUAUGACACACACACACACACACACACACUCACACACACACACACACACACACACACACACACACACACACACACACACACACACAGAGUAGUCAGUAAGUGGAAUAGUUUGGGAAGCGAUGUAGUGGAGGCAGGAUCCAUACAUAGCUUUAAGCAGAGGUAUGAUAAAGCUCACGGCUCAGGGAGAGUGACCUAGUAGCGAUCAGUGAAGAGGCGGGGCCAGGAGCUCGGUCUCGACCCCCGCAACCUCAACUAGGUGAGUACAACUAGGUGAGUACACACACACACAUACACACAAAACACACACACACACACACACACACACACACACACACACACACACACACACACACACACACACACACACACACACACACACACACACACACACACACACAAAACACACACACACAUACACAGACACACAAUGAAAAGAUACGACAGAGCACUUGGAGCCGGGGGAGAGUUGACCUAGUAGCGAUCAGCGAAGAGUUGGGGCCAGGAGCUGUGAACAGACCCCUACAACCACAAAGAGGUGAGUACACACAAACACACAUAUAACCUUAAGUUUCAAAAUUAGGGAAAUCCACUCGUAAUAACCUUCACAGCAGUAACUAACAUCUCCAGUUGUCACAUUAUAUAUUAAUAUAACCCACUCUAAACAACAUAUAAUUAAUCACACACAACCCGCAUGACGUUAAACCCAACACACAACUAUGUUAACUAAGCAAGCUGGAAAAAAAACAGAGAAUAACCCAGUGUCACCACACAACUUGACAGGAUCAAGACACCUAGACACGGAAAUUUGCUCACCAAAAAUAUUGCAACCUCCCAGAGCCUUAGCUUACGUGUCUCAAACAUAUACGUGUAUAUAUACUGUGCAACCAAAGCUUAAUCUUUCAUACGAGUAAGUCUGGCGUCAGGUGAUAUUCCCUGAGGAAUAUAUACAGAAGAAGAAGAAGGUUAUCAUCACUACCAUCACCCAGGAUAAUAAUGAUGCUGCGUGAUGCUCUGAGUGCUGCUGUGCUGGUUGCUGUGGCGGCGCUGCUGUCAACUGCUGCACCAGCACCGCAAUUUUUAUUUCCUGGUAUCAGCGGUGGGUUGUUCCCCGGAGGUGUUCCAUGUCGUUACUUCAGCAGGAACCCCAUCACUGGUCGUAUUGACGUGUGUACUCAGACACCAGACCAGACCUCUGGCUUCUUCCAACCUCAGUUCCUUCCCAACAACUUCUUUAGCUUUUAGCACCCCAUUCUAACGUGUGUGUACUCGCCUAGUUGUACUUGCCUAGUUGUGGUUGCAGGGGUCGAUUCACAGCUCCUGGCUCCGCCUCUUCACUGGUCACUACUAUGGGUCCAGGGACUGUACCUCAACAUUACAGAGGUACAAAAUAGGUCCAGGGACUGUACGCCAACAUUACAGAGGUACAAAAUGGGUCCAGGGACUGUACGACAUUACAGUGGUACACAAUGGGUCCACGGACUGUACGUCAACAUUACAGAGGUACGCAAUGGGUCCAGGGACUGUACCUCAACAUUACAUAGGUACACAAUGAGUCCAGGGACUGUACCUCAACAUUACAGAGGCACACAAUGGGUCCAGGGACUGUACCUCAACAUUACAGAGGCACACAAUGGGUCCAGGAACUGUACCUCAACAUUACAGAGGCACACAAUGGGUCCAGGGACAUGUACCUCAACAUUACAGAGGCACACAAUGGGUCCAGGGACUGUACCU